UUGGGAAAUCUAACAGGCUUAACCGUUAGGCUUUCGUAGCAUCCUGCCAUGACUUGGAACUGGGAGAGGUAAGAGGUACUCCAGGGGUAGGAGUGAAAUCUUGUAAUCCCUGUGGGACCACGUGUGGCAGACAGGCGUCUAUACCAGAACAGGUUCGACGGUGAGGGACGAAAGCUAGGGGCCCGAACCGGAUUAGAUACCCGGGUAGUCCCAGCCAGUAA
rnacentral:rRNA from 1 species